rnacentral:rRNA from 1 species
AGCGAACGCUGGCGGCAGGCUUAACACAUGCAAGUCGAACGGUCCUUCGGGAUAGUGGCGGACGGGUGAGUAACACGUGGGAACGUACCCUUAGGUUCGGAACAACACAGGGAAACUUGUGCUAAUACCGGAUAAGCCCUUCGGGGGAAAGAUUUAUCGCCUUUGGAGCGGCCCGCGUCUGAUUAGCUUGUUGGUGAGGUAAUGGCUCACCAAGGCUACGAUCAGUAGCUGGGCUGAGAGGAUGGCCAGCCACACUGGGACUGAGACACGGCCCAGACUCCUACGGGAGGCAGCAGUGGGGAAUCUUGCGAAAUGGGCGAAAGCCUGACGCAGCCAUGCCGCGUGGAUGAUGAAGGUCUUAUGAUUGUAAAAUCCUUUCACCGGGGACGAUAAUGACGGUACCCGGAGAAGAAGCCCCGGCUAACUUCGUGCCAGCAGCCGCCGUAA